GCCUGGUAUGGUGGUUCAUGCCUGUAGUCCCAACUACUUUGGAGGCUAAGGCAGGAAUAUUGCUUGAGCCCAGGAAUUUUGAGGCCAGCCUGGGCAGCACUGUGAGACCACAUCUUUU
rnacentral:sRNA from 1 species